GUUCCGUAGGUGAACCUGCGGAAGGAUCAUUACUGAGUGAGGGCCCCUCGGGGUCCAACCUCCCACCCGUGUUUAACGAACCUUGUUGCUUCGGCGGGCCCGCCUCACGGCCGCCGGGGGGCAUUUGCCCCCGGGCCCGCGCCCGCCGAAGCCACCUGUGAACGCUGUCUGAAGUAUGCAGUCUGAGACAAUUAUUAAAUUAAUUAAAACUUUCAACAACGGAUCUCUUGGUUCCG
rnacentral:misc_RNA from 1 species